rnacentral:lncRNA from 1 species
UUUUUUUUGUUGUUGAAUUUUUAUAUAUUCUGGAUACUAGACCAUAAUCAGAUAUAUGAUAGGCAAAUACUUUCUCACAUUCUGCUUUCUUUCUUGAUAGUAUAUUUUAAAGCACAAAAGCUUAGAACUCGACAGUUUUUUUUUUGCCACUGCUUUUAGUGCCAUACUUAAGAAACCAAUGACAAAUCAAAGUUGUUGGUUUUUUUUUGCUGUUUGUUUUUGUUUGUUUGUUUGUUUGGUUGGUUUUUUUUGCCGUUUUGUCUUUUUAGGGCUGCACCAAGGUAUAUGGAGGUUCCCAGGCUUCAGGUCGAAUUGGAGCUGUACCUGCCAGCCCACGCCACAGCCACAGCAAUGCGAUAUCUGAGCCAAGGCUGCGACCUACACCACAGUUCACAGCAACGCCAAAUCCUCAACCCCCUGAGCGAGGCCAGGGAUCAAACCUGCAUCCUCAUGGAUGCGAGUCAGUUUCGUUAACUGCUGAGCCAUGAUGGGAACUCCUCAAAUCAAAGAUUUGGAGGAUUUAUACCUAUGUUUUCUUCUAAGUCUUAUAAUCUUUGCUCCUACAUUUAAAUCUAUGACCCAUUUUGUAUUAAAUUUUAUAUAUGAUGUGAGGUAGGGAUCAAACUUCAUUCUUUUGAAUGUAGAUAUCUAGUUGUCUCAAUGUCAUUUUUUGAAAAGAGUAUUCAUUUCUCACUGAAUGGUCUUGGUACUGCUGUCAAAAAUAAAUUUACCAUAAACAAAUGGGCUUAUAUUUGAACUUUCAGUCCUAUUUAAUUUAUCCUAUGUCUAGCCUUAUGCUAGUCAUCCCUGAUAUUCUUUUAGUUAAGCUAAUUCUUUCUCUGCAUCUCAGAUUUCUUCAUCUCUAAAAUGGGUAGGUUGAGGGAAGGCAGGAGCAGGAAUAACAUUCAAAACUGCUUCUAUAAUACCCACAACAAAUGUUUUAUUAUGAGAUUUUACUACUAUUAAUUCUAUUGACUAAUUUCAAUUCCUUUGAGGAUGGAAAGAAAUAAAACAUUAAGUACAGAAAUGGUUUUCAUUUUUAAAGUAUAAAGUGACGCAAAAGUACAGAGUGACUCACUAUUUUUAAAAUACAUAAGAAAUGGGGCUGAUUUGGAGAUGAAGGGAUGACUAUCCAUAUUUUGUUGAUAGCACUACUAGCAAUAUCCCUGAACUUUCCAAAUUUCACAAUAUCUGUAAAUUUAUGGAAAUUAUUUCAAAGAUCUAGGAUUGAAGAUAAUGACUAUAAAGCCUGCUUAGUUGCUUUAUUCUGGCCUAGAUUUCUUCAUAAUGUGGACCUUUACAAAACCCACAACUCACAUGGCACUCUCAAGAAAAAUCUUAUUAGCCACUCUUGAUAGCUCCAACCCUGAUCAGACAAUGUACAGAACAUGUUCCUAGCAUGACAUCCUCAUUCAUAGUAUUUCUCCCACCUUCUGGACAAUUUUCAAUCUAGAAUGAUGCUUCUUAAAUGGUAGUUAAUGGACAGGUUACAUCAAAAUCACCUGGCUACUCCUUGCUAUAAAAACAAUUUUACAAAAAUCUACUCAGCUCAAUCAAAUCAGGAAAUGAAAAGGGGAAGAGAGCUGGAGAGGAAAGAAAUGAACAAACACCCCAUGUAAUUCUGACGCACAGCCAAGGUAAAGGACUCUCUGAUCUAGUAAUCAGAGGACUGGUGGUAAAUGUAGGUAGUACUCAAAUUUAGAGCAGGCUUAUUUUGGAGUAGGUUCAGGCAUAGGAAGGAAUCAGGUGUAGAACCACAAAAUGUUAGCCAUAUAAAACAAGUCGUGGAUUGGGGCAAAUGAUUCUGUUAGAAAUUAUAUAAAACUAGGAAAGCUGAGUUUGGAAUGCAGCCACUGUUAUGGCAAAGAUCAGAGGAAAAAUUCAAUGUCUGCUGGUUGUAUUAAAGAUUCAGGUGAGAAAAGCAGGUGCCCAGGAGAUCUUUGGUGGCAGUACCUCUGCUGGAAAGCAAUAUAAAGGCAGAGAACAUGUCUCAUUCAAAGUUCCAGCUGACUUUACUCCUCUAAGGAAGACUGAGCUUGAAAAAUGCCAAGGCUGUCACAACCAUCCUUCCUGCCUAAGAACAUAAGCUAGCAUUUACCAAGCACUAGCUAUGGGUGAGGUGUUUAGCAUGAAUUAUUUUAAUUUUUAAACUAAUCAUUUGAAUUGAAAGCAUCCCUAACUGACAAAAGUGGAAAACACUAAAACACUAAACAUGAAAAUCAUAAAUGGAAGGCCAGAGAUUCACCAUCCAUAGUUGCUAACAUAGGUCUUGGAUUUCCUCAUCUCUGAAAUCAUUUUCCUCAUACUCAGAAACUUUGCCUUCAGCUUUGUCAGGACUCCACAUUCAGACCUCAAUAGUCCACUAGAGUGACCAGGUCAUCCAGUCAAAUGGCAGCUCAUUGGAGGGGUUCAUCCCCGGUAGAAAUUCAUGUUGGGUUCAUGUUUUGCCCAGACUUCCAGACUAGGGUGAUUAUCUCAGCCCAAAGGCUGGGUCUUUAUAUAUUUCCAAAUAUUCUCCAUAUGCAGGGCUACCUCUCUCUC